AGAUUGAACGCUGGCGGCAGGCCUAACACAUGCAAGUCGAGCGGCAGCACGGGUACUUGUAUCUGGUGGCGAGCGGCGGACGGGUGAGUAAUGCCUAGGAAUCUGCCUGGUAGUGGGGGAUAACGCUCGGAAACGGACGCUAAUACCGCAUACGUCCUACGGGGAGAAAGCGGGGGACCUUCGGGCCUCGCGCCAUUAGAUGAGCCUAGGUCGGAUUAGCUAGUUGGUGAGGUAAUGGCUCACCAAGGCGACGAUCCGUAACUGGUCUGAGAGGAUGAUCAGUCACACUGGAACUGAGACACGGUCAGACUCCCACGGGA
rnacentral:rRNA from 1 species